rnacentral:rRNA from 1 species
UGCCAGCCGCCGCGGUAAUACGGGGGAUGCAAGCGUUAUCCGGAAUCAUUGGGCGUAAAGCGCCUGUAGGUUGUUUAAUAAGUCCGUUGUUAAAGACUAGGGCUUAACCCUAGGAAAGCGAUGGAAACUGAUAGACUUGAGUAUGGCAGGGGUAGAGGGAAUUUCUAGUGUAGCGGUGAAAUGCGUAGAUAUUAGAAAGAACACCGGUGGCGAAAGCGCUCUACUGGACCAUUACUGACACUGAGAGGCGAAAGCUAGGGGAGCGAAAGGGAUUAGAUA